GACGAGCGCUGGCGGCGUGCCUAAUACAUGCAAGUAGAACGCUGAAGGAGGAGCUUGCUUCUCUGGAUGAGUUGCGAACGGGUGAGUAACGCGUAGGUAACCUGCCUGGUAGCGGGGGAUAACUAUUGGAAACGAUAGCUAAUACCGCAUAAUAGCAGUUGUUGCAUGACAACUGUUUGAAAGGUGCAAUUGCACCACUACCAGAUGGACCUGCGUUGUAUUAGCUAGUUGGUGGGGUAACGGCUCACCAAGGCGACGAUACAUAGCCGACCUGAGAGGGUGAUCGGCCACACUGGGACUGAGACACGGCCCAGACUCCUACGGGAGGCAGCAGUAGGGAAUCUUCGGCAAUGGACGGAAGUCUGACCGAGCAACGCCGCGUGAGUGAAGAAGGUUUUCGGAUCGUAAAGCUCUGUUGUAAGAGAAGAACGAGUGUGAGAGUGGAAAGUUCACACUGUGACGGUAUCUUACCAGAAAGGGACGGCUAACUACGUG
rnacentral:rRNA from 1 species